rnacentral:rRNA from 1 species
GACGAACGCUGGCGGCGCGCUUAACACAUGCAAGUCGAGCGAAGCGGCGGCCGGGUGAGUAACACGUGAGUAACCUGCCUUAGACAUUGGGAUAGCCUCGGGAAACCGGGAUUAAUACCAAAUGGUCUAAGAUGGUGUCGCGUCCCAUUAGCUAGUUGGUGGGUAACGGCCCAACAAGGCGACGAUGGGUAGCCGGCCUGAGAGGGGGAACGGCAACAUUGGAACUGGGAAACGGUCCAACAUCUACGGGAGGCAGCAGUGGGGAAUAUUGCACAAUGGAGGGAGCUCUGAUGCAGCGACGCCGCGUGAACGAAGAAGGCUGUCGAGUCGUAAAGUGCUUUUAUAUGGGAAGCGGUACCAUAAGAAAAAGCCACGGCUAACUACGUGCCAGCCGCCGCGGUAAUUC